rnacentral:tRNA from 1 species
AUUAAGAUGGCCGAUUAUAGGUAGUAAACUGUAAAUUUGCUUAUGAAAAAUUUUUUCUCUUAAUA